AACGAACGCUGGCGGCGUGCUUAACACAUGCAGGUCGAACGCGAAAGGGACUUCGGUCCCGAGUAGAGUGGCGCACGGGUGAGUAACGCGUAAGUAAUCUACCCCUGUAUUCGGAAUAACCUACCGAAAGGUGAGCUAAUACCGGAUACGUUUAUCUUGAUGCGAAUGAUGAUAAAGAAAGGUGGCCUCUUCUUGAAAGCUACUGUACAGGGAUGAGCUUGCGUACCAUUAGCUAGUUGGUAGGGUAAUGGCCUACCAAGGCGACGCUGGUUAGCGGGUCUGAGAGGAUGACCCGCCACACUGGAACUGGAACACGGACCAGACUCCUGCGGGAGGCAGCAGUGAGGAAUAUUGCGCAAUGGGGGCAACCCUGACGCAGCGACGCCGCGUGAGUGAGGAAGGCCUUCGGGUCGUAAAGCUCUGUCAAGAGGGAAGAAGUGCAUGGUGGUUAAUAUCUGUCAUGUUUGACGGUACCUCUAAAGGAAGCACCGGCUAACUCCGUGCCAGCAGCCGCCGUAA
rnacentral:rRNA from 1 species